rnacentral:sRNA from 1 species
AAAUUGACAAAUUGGUCAUUUUGACCUAGUAAAUUAUAGAAAAAAAUAAAACCAAAAUUGAAAGUAAACCAAAAAAAAAAAAAAAACCAAAAAAGAACAUAAGAUGGAACCCCGAGAAAACGAUUGUAAAAUUUUAAUUAUUAUUAUUCAAUAAUAAAUACAAAAAAGGAAAGAUUUGACAGAAAUACAAACAUAUACAAUUAGGUUUUAUUUCAAUCCAUAUUCCAACUUCAACACGUAAUUACCCGUAAUUGGAUCCCGGAGAGAGGAUCCUGAUGCUCAAGACCAAAACGAAAACGAAAACGAAGACCAAGAUGAAGCCGCCUUCAAAAGUCGGAAAGGUAAAUUGAGUCUCGUGCUAGACAUAAGCUGAUAAUUAAGAUAUAGGCAAUGUACAAUAGAACGAGUACACAAUUACGCUAAUGCUGACACCAAGCACAUAUCUGACCAAUGUAAAUAUGUACAGAUGUUCAGUCGAUCAAUAUUCAUAAAAUCCUAUUCCUAGCAUCAUGAAUUCAUUGCAAAGCGACACUUGACACAUUGUACAAACCAAAGCUUAGUUUACUUAGUCAUAGAAAACAAGCGAACAUUAUAACCUGAAGCAAAAACAGGGCAGCACAUUGCUCUGAUAUCAUAACAUAUAUUCAAAGUGUUAAAAUUUCCCGUCUGACUAUCAAGAAAUAGAAGCUUGCAAAUUUUACUAACGAAAAAUUCUGAUUCCCUGCGCAGUUUGUCAACAACCAGCUGAAAGUUAAAUUCAAAUCCAGUCGUUCCUUUACGAUCUCCUUAUAACAGAAAUAACUAUAAAACAAAAACAUAUGUAUAUCCAGCUAGCAAAUGCCAAUCAACAGAUCUUACCCUCGAAUAUCGAAAAGCAGAAGGGAUGCUGCGUGUAUGUAUGACCAGUGUUUUACCAAAUCUCAUUUUUAUUAAACAACAACCAACAAUGGGAAGUUGACAUACUGUUUUCGCAAGAAAUACUUUCCUAUUUAAUCGAAGCUUUCGGCAUGAUUUCUUUAUAUCCCACCGCUAUUUAUCCAAAAACUUCACUCUAAUUAGACCACAUUUUCUCAAAAAUUGUACAAGAUUCCCCUAUAAUCAAGUCAGAUUUCCCAAUACUCCUGCAUUGUUUUUGAAUUAGUUUUUGGCAUGUUCAAAUCCCCCUUUAGUUGUUACUAUGAUUAAAUUUAUUAACGUAUUGACGUCUAAUUUUCCCCUUGACUGCUAACUUAUUUGCGAGUAUCUCGGAGACCUGGAAGCGAAUAUAUCGUGGACAACGUUGGACACGUGCAAUUGCAGUAUACUGGAAUAUGGAACAUCAUUUAUAAUUAAUCUAGAGUAUAAAAAUGUGUGUUUUAAUUUUAUCUUUGUUAAGAUGUUUUUGUACAUCGUAUUCGAGUACAGAAAUGUAUAUUUCUAAUUUUGUUUAAAAUAAAAUUUGUAACGUUUUGAAAAA